rnacentral:hammerhead_ribozyme from 1 species
AUCCGGCUAACGAGUUUCAAAUAGGACGAAACGCACAUCCUGGAU